GUUUUACCUAUCUCUGACUAAAUUACUGUCUAAAGAUAAUCAGCUGUAGUGAAAGAACUAGACAGACCAAAACCCUGAUCAACCGGACACCAACUGGAGGCUGACAACAAAGAGUAGAAACUGGUAAGAAUUACCAACCACCAAGACCGACAAAUGCCAGCUAGUCGUCAUGAAAAAGGCUUGAGAGUUAAGAACCCCACCCUCCACUGUUG
rnacentral:misc_RNA from 1 species